AAAGUCGUAACAAGGUUUCUGUAGGUGAACCUGCAGAAGGAUCAUUAGUGAAGAUUUGGGCAGGCCAUACGGACGCCAAAAAGUGUCCCUGGCCGCCUACACCCACUAUACAUCCACAAACCCGUGUGCACUGUCUUGGAGAAAGGCUUCAGAGAAGUUUUUUGUGGCCUCUCUUGGGGUCUUUCUUCGCUACAAACUCGAAUGGUUAGUAUGAACGUGGAACUUGGUUGGACCGUCACUGGCCAACAAACUAUACACAACUUUCGACAACGGAUCUCUUGGUUCUCCCAUCGAUGAAGAACGCAGCGAAACGCGAUAGGUAAUGUGAAUUGCAGAAUUCCGUGAAUCAUCGAAUCUUUGAACGCACCUUGCGCUCUAUGGCAAUCCGUAGAGCAUGCCUGUUUGAGUGCCAUGAAAUCUCCCACCCCAAGCAGUUUUUAAAUGAAACGGCUUGGCGGAUGGGGUCUGGAUGGGUGCCUCUGCCUGCGCUACCUAGCACAGGCUCGCCCGAAAUGCAUGGGCGCCUUGAGACACUUUGCAUCCGCCUCUCUGUUUGGGAGGAGGCGGCCAAGCAGUGUUUUUCUCCUGGCAUGGCAUGAUACGUCAUUUGCUAUGUCGCCUAAAGGAGGAAUGUUUGGUUGUGUCUGCGUGUGCUUCGAACUUGCCUCUGUGGCACAUCCCAAUUUCACUUCUGGUCUCANAUCAGGUAGGAUCACCCGCUGAACUUAAGCAUAUCAAUAAGCGGAGGAAA
rnacentral:rRNA from 1 species